CGGAUGGAUACCCUAUGUGUUUCUACCAGUGUUUUUGGGAGGUCCUGAAGGAAGAUAUCAUGAACACUUUGCAACAUUUUCAUUCUCACCAGGUCUUUGAAAGAAGUUUCAAUGCGACUUAUGUGGCUCUCAUUCCCAAGAAAAUUGGAGCUGCUGCAUUAAGGGAUUAUAGACCUAUCAGUCUCAUCAGUGGGGUCUGUAAAA